AGUUCUCAUCCAAUCACUGAAGUUAAGUAACAUUGAGCCUGGUCAGUACCUAGAUGAGUAACCGCUUGGGAAUACCAGAUGCUGUAAU